rnacentral:rRNA from 1 species
GAGUUUGAUCCUGGCUCAGGAUGAACGCUGGCGGCGUGCCUAAUACAUGCAAGUCGAGCGGUAAGGCCCUUCGGGGUACACGAGCGGCGGACGGCUGAGUAACACGUAGGAACGUACCCCAAAGUGAGGGAUAAGCACCAGAAAUGGUGUCUAAUACCGCAUGUGCUCUAAGGAGUAAAGCUCCGGCGCUUUGGGAACGGCCUGCGCAUGAUUAGCUAGAUGGUGAGGUAAUGGCUCACCAUGGCGACGAUCAUUAGCUGGUCUGAGAGGAUGAUCAGCCAGACUGGGACUGAGACACGGCCCAGACUCCUACGGGAGGCAGCAGUAGGGAAUUUUCCACAAUGGGCGAAAGCCUGAUUGAGCAACGCCGCGUGCAGGAUGAAUGCCUUCGGGUUGUAAAACUGCUUUUAUAUGUGACGAAUAUGACGGUAGCAUAUGAAAUAAGGAUCGGCUAAACUCCGUGCCAGCAGCCGCGGGUCAUACGGAGGAUCCCAAGCGUUAUCCGGGAAUUACUGGGGCGUAAAGAGUUGCGUAGGCGGCAUAGUAAGCAGAUAGUGAAAGCCGUGUGGCUCAACCAUACUCACAUUAUCUGAACUGCUAAGCUAGAGGACGAGAGAGGUCACUGGAAUUCCUUAGUGUAGGAGUGACAUCCGUAGAUAUUAGGAGGAACCCCAAUGGCGCAAGCAGGGGACUGGCUCGUUCCUGAACCUUCGGCACGAAAGCGUGGGGAGCAAAUGGGAAUUAGAUCCCCGGUAGUCCCUGCCUAAA